rnacentral:rRNA from 1 species
UACGAAGGGGGCUAGCGUUGCUCGGAAUUACUGGGCGUAAAGGGCGCGUAGGCGGAUACUUAAGUCGGGGGGUGAAAGCCCGGGGCUCAACCUCGGAAUUGCCUUCGAUACUGGGUAUCUUGAGUUCGGGAGAGGUGAGUGGAAUGCCGAGUGUAGAGGUGAAAUUCGUAGAUAUUCGGCGGAACACCAGUGGCGAAGGCGACUCACUGGCCCGAUACUGACGCUGAUGCGCGAAAGCGUGGGGAGCAAACAGGGAUUAAGAAA